rnacentral:lncRNA from 1 species
CAUGGCUCUAGCUUCUGGUGAGAGGUUUCAGGCUGCGUCAUAAUAUGGCAGAGAAGAUCAAUGGGUAAAUGGACAUGUGUGAAGAAAGGCAAAACCAGAGACCGUCCAGGCUGGACUUGAACUCCUUCCUCGGCUGAAGUGAUCCUCCUGCCUCAGCGUCCUGAAUAGGAAGUGGAGCCAGAAUCCACAGAUGUCAUUAUCCAUCUGCACACUUUGUUUACUACCCAGAAGGCAAGAAUAUUGCAUUUUAAAAGUGCCCGGACUUUUGUUCUUUCUUAUCACAAAUGACUUGGGAAGCUCCGACCACUCAUGUUUACCCCGAGUGAAAGUCCCAUUCAAAGCCUUGCUUCCUGGAGAGCUUUGAGAUUCUGGUACAAAAGGCAUUUUAUAAGCACAAAGUGGAAAAGCAUCAUUCAUAUUCAUUUGCUGCUGCGGCAUUUCUCCCUGGAAUCUUCCUCUUGUCUGUCAACAUUGGGCAAAAGGACUGGCCUCAUCUACAUUACAGAUAUCCUUGUGAUGGUCUGGAGGUAGGAAAAGGACACCCAGCACAAGAGUGAGAAGGGAAACUCAAGCUCUCCUGUUGGAGAGUCUCAGGCUUCUUUAUCCAUAAAACUGAUUGGACAUAAUUGGUGUGGGUUUAUGAUUUGUUUUGGAAAAACCUGAGUAUGAAAUCAAUACUGUGCUUUGUGCAUCUUGGCUGCAAUGAGUGUUUUUUAUGUGAUUGCAGGGACCUGUGGGAGAGGCGGCCAUCCAGAGGGCUCUCUGAGGGGUCAUUUAGAAUGCAACUCUUCUGGGCAGAGGAUGGUCUGCACUGGCCUCCACCACGCAGGAAGGCUUCCAGAGUGGAGAAAUGUCCACUAACAUGGCUUCUGUGAGGUAUCAUUCUGAUCAUUGUUGUUACAGGAGAGAUGAGAGGAAGUUAGAGGGGCUAGAAGAACCAGGAGACCUGUUGAAAAUCAUGAAUACAAAGAGAGGUCGUUUGCUUCUGUGCUUCAAUUCUAUAAUAAAAUGAGUACAAUGUCA